AGUCGUCCGAAAUCUAACUUGGUAACAGUUGACGAUAACUGGAUAUUGCUCAGAAUAGAGAUCUUUCAAAUCGGCUCUUUCCACCAUUCGGGUGCACAGGACCCAUCGCCUGUAGCAUUUAAAAACUCUCACAUAUUUUGUUGUUAUGAAAGAAAUGUAAUUAACCAUUAUUAGUAUCAUGAUUUGAUGCGGCUCAGUCCACUGAAAUGUUUUCGAGUUAUUUAGUUUUUCAAAUUUUAGGAAAACUAUGCCUUUUUCUCUAAGUUGAUUGAUUUUGAUUAUUUGGGGAAAAAACAUGAAAUAAUUCAAUUUUAUAAUAUUUUAUAAUAAUAAAAUUUUGAUGUCUCUUUCGAAAACUCAAAUAUUAAUUUAAUAUUGUUCUUGAUGCUGAGUUGUUUAUGAUGCAUAAUCGUCAGGAGAAAAAAGAAAAACAAACCGUUUCCAAUCAUCGAAGUAUGAACGAAGGCGUGCGCGGUGCGCCUUUCGGCAAAGCACACCACCAGAGACGUUGUUUAUAGAUAGAGACCCGCGCAGACUGAAGCCGAAAGUACCAAUCGAACCGUCAAACGCGGUACCAAUCGAACAAUGUAAAUAAACAUGCAAGUUUUGUGAUGAAGUGUUUGAGGAGUAUUGUAAUUAUUUCAAACAAGAUUUAAAAUAAGUUGCAACCUGUUGUUUUUGCUUGUAAACGUGAACGGAAGGAUGCUCAGCUUUAUGAAAACAACAAAAGUUUCACUUCAUCGCGGAAAAAAUACACCGGAUCGGACCAGGAAAUGAAGCAUCUGGAGGAUAAGGAUCAUGCAUUUAUCGGAAACUUAGUGCUUCGAGCUGUGAAACAACCCAUCUAUAAAUAUGGUCACUACAUCCCAGUCUCGUUAUUUUUAAUCAGUUUAUGUUAAUCAAUGUUUUCCGGGUGAUUGUGUGUUAUAUACGCGAAUAAUAAAUGAAGCGGAGUUGCACGAGGCCAACUCGUAUCCAGCCUACCCCGUUAUCGCAGCCUACCCCAAAAAAAUGGAUUGUGCUUUGCAAGAAAUAAACUUGAAGGUAAAUACCCUAUACCAAACCAUCAAUAAGUUCAAUGGAUUUCGACGUUUUAAAUCACUGUUCUGCUUUCCGGGUAUUUGUGUAUCGCCGUAAUUAAUAGCACCACUCCCGACGUAAAAUAUUUUCAAAGCUGUACCUGAAAAAUAAAUGUAGCACAAGUAAAAUAAAUAAUAA